rnacentral:piRNA from 1 species
UUCUGAUGUUGUGCCAGAACUUUCC